rnacentral:lncRNA from 1 species
CCCUCACUUGUGGCAGUUCUGCCAUAAUGCACAGGAUUGAUGUUCCAUCCACGUGUCUACUCAUCACAUCAAAACCUGUAACAGAGCCUGGAAUGCAGAAGACCUUUAAUUAACAUUAUAGGCCCCAUCGCAUGACAUUUUUG